GAAAUGCGAUACGUAUCAUGAAUUGCAGAACUCUGAAUGAUAAAUGUUUGAACGCACAUUGCGCCAGACUCUGUUUGGCAUGUCUGUCUGAGAAUCUUGAAGUUUUCUCCAUAACAAAGUUUUUGUUUCAAGGAGGCUAUUGACGGUGCUAUGAUAUUAUACCAUAGGCUGUUGAAAUUCAAUUCAUAUACCAACACGUUUGUUCAAGUAUGGUAUGUCUUUUUGACAAACUCAAAAUGACGUUUCCUGCCAUACACAACCAUUGAACAACAAAGACUUGGUCUCAGAUCAGACAGGAGGACCCGCUGAACUUAA
rnacentral:misc_RNA from 1 species